GAAGUUCCUGAGACAAUGAGAGGGGAUGCUGGCUGUCUCUUUCUCUUUAUCUUCUCGCAGUAAAGCUCCAGUUCUCCUUGAGGUAAAGUGGAGCCUCUGAUUGACGCGAGGACGCGGGGAAAAUGAAAGCCAAAUUAUUAUUAUUUCAAGUUGUGUUCUUGCGGCGUUCCCGGAUGUCUGUGGUGACCCUCGUUUGUGUGAAGUCAACAAAACUGACCAGCACACCAUCUGAAUGCUACAGCGGGAUGGAGAUGGGAGGCGAAGCCUUGGAAGCUGGAGGGUGAAUAGCUGGUGUGCACAACCCCCUAGCAACGGGCAAACGAGGAGGAGUGUGGAAUGGGAGUCAGUGCUUAAUGGGCACUAAGUUUCCAUUUGGUUGUAGAGACGAUGGUGCUGAUGGCUAUAAGGCAUCUUGAAAGUGCUGAAUGCCACCAAACUGCACAAUUGAAACAGUUAAGAUGGUGAAUGUUGUGUGUGUUUUCCUGCCGCUGAAUACUGUAUUUUUUUUUCUGGUUCCAUGUGAGACUCUAAGGACAUGGAGGUGAGGAAGACAUGCAAGGUCCUGUCUGCAUGGAGUUUACAGUUGUGGAAGAGAUGAGCAGGAAGCUGGAUGGAGAAUAUUUGCCAUUCAUCAGUGCUCCACAGAUUGUUAAGAUUUCUUCCUGGGGCCGGAGAGGCAAUACGCUUUCAGAGGACCCGAGUUUGAUUUGCAGCACCAACAUGGUAGCUCACUACAGUCUGUAACUGCACUCCUGGUCCGAUCUGCAGGCACUGUGUGUGCGCAUAAGGAAUGUGGACGUACCUGAAGGCAGAACACUCAUCACACGUGAAAUUAAAAAAUUAAUAUUGUUUAAAA
ensembl:lincRNA E330017L17Rik RIKEN cDNA E330017L17 gene